ACACAGGUUUUUUUUAAAACCAUGAAUGGUUGUAGAGAACCAGAAU
rfam:Papio anubis isolate 1X1155 chromosome 7, whole genome shotgun sequence.